rnacentral:rRNA from 1 species
AUUGAACGCUGGCGGCAGGCCUAACACAUGCAAGUCGAACGAGUGGCGGACGGGUGAGUAAUGUCUGGGAAACUGCCUGAUGGAGGGGGAUAACUACUGGAAACGGUAGCUACUACCGCAUACCAUCGGAUGUGCCCAGAUGGGAUUAGCUAGUAGGUGGGGUAAAGGCUCACCUAGGCGACGAUCCCUCACUGGUCUGAGAGGAUGACCGUCCACACUGGAACUGAGAAACUGUCCAGACUCCUACGGGAGGCAGCAGUGGGGAAUAUUGAACAAUGGGCGCAAGCCUGAUGCAGCCAUGCCGCGUGUAUGAAGAAGGCCUUCGGGUUGUAAAGUACUUUCAGCGGGGAGGCGUUACCCGCAGAAGAAGCACCGGCUAACUACGUGCCAGCAGCCGCGGUAAUUC